rfam:Trypanosoma vivax Y486, WGS project CAEX01000000 data, contig: 5342
UUUUAAAUGCGUUUAUUAAAUGCGUUUGUCUAAGUAUUUUAUUUAAGAUUAUUCUUGUAUAUAUAUUUUCUUUUUAUUAGUUCUUAUUACAAUAUAUAUAUUCCUUAUUAUUAAAAUAUUUGUAGCAUAGUAAUUUAUUAAUUAAUUAUUAAAGAGUUCCAUAGAAAUUUUUUAAAUUAUAACAAAUAAAAUAAUGUAUGAAUUAAAAUAAAAAUUUUAAUAAAAAUUAAAUAAUUAAAAUAGGGCAAGUCCUACUCUCCUUUACAAAGAGAACAUUAUUAUAUAUGUAUUUGUAUGUUUGAUUGGGGCAAUACUAUAUUUAGUUAUAUAGAAAAAGAACUAUAAUUAUUGAAAUAGUAAAAGGUUCGAGCAGGUUAACAAGCAUAUAUAUAAAAUGUGUUUCAUCGUCUACUUAUUGUUUUAAAUUGAUUGUUCAUCAAAAUUACAAUUCGUUAGUUGGGUUAAAAUCGUUGUAAAGCAGAUUUGUUUAUAUAUUUAAUUAAUAAAUAAAAGUAAAAUAAAUAUUAGUACGCAAGGAUUGAUUAUAAUUAUUUAAAUUGAUGAU